CGUAAGAGACAGACGUGUCGCACUUACGCGUCGCUCUCCAAUAACAUUCAUUUUAAAUCAGUUUUCAGUUUAUUUUCAAAUUACUUUCUUCUAUACGUGUUUUAAUUAACGUUUUAAUUAAUACCUAUUUCAUUAACUUGUACAACACCUUGAAGAAAUUUGGUUAAGUUACUUACAAAGUGUAUUAACUAUUCGUAAAAUAUUUGUAGUAAUAUAUUAUGUAAGGUUCUGCUAAUUUUUAUAUAUUUUACUAGCAUUUCGUUGCACUUUUGUUUUUGUAACGUGAAUCAUUAUCGGUAACCCCGUGUGUCACAAAUAAUUAUUCUCCUACCAAAAUUGGUGUACACCGUCGAUAAUACAUAGGGCGCUGAAGCUAAACAUUGUUAAACAUGGAUUCGAAUGUGUGCAAAAUCUGUGGCACCUGUGCAAUGAAACUCAUCUUCUGUGUUUCCUGCAAUACAAACGCACAUCCUGAUUGUUUGCUUACCACUGGACAUCCAUUCGUCAAUGGAAGAUUCUUGGACUGUUCUUGUCACUCGCGGCCAUUCAAGGAUUCACGCGAAGAUAUAUUAAUUCAACAGUUUGACGACAUGCUUCACUUCGAAUUUGACAAGUUCGAGGAAAGAAUUACAGAAGCCUGGAAAGCUGAUAUGGAGAAGAUCCAGUUUGAAAUAAAUAAGAUCGCUAACAUUGUGGCCGCCCUUGAUCUUAAAGUUGCAAGAUUCGAUCGAUCUCUUGUCACGAAUAGUACCAGCCAUGUGGAUACUGAAGAGACGACAGUGUCAAGAAACAUCCAGCCAGCAACAGGAGCAAGGUAUCGUUACCAUUGCACCACUUCCGGAAUUAAGGACCAAGGAACACCGGAGUUAAAGGUGGGUGCACCUGCGGGAUGCGUCCUGUGCAGUCAUCACGUGCAAGAGCAGAGGUCUGGGGGAACGUCCUUAGUUCCUAGAGUGAAACCGUUGUGGGGAAGGAUUCUUGACUUCACGAAUACUUCGACGCUACGUCGCCCAAAGAUCAACGAGAGUAUUCGAAACAGUCAAAAACUGAACAUGAAAGAAGAUUAAGAACUAAGUCACUCUGAAUAAUAGUAGUUUCACACUUGUUUCUGAGUUCUUAAGAAAAUGUAGCUUUUGUGAAAUGUUCUUGGAUUAAUUGAAUACUAAUGUUGCUAUUAAUGAUAUUGAUAAUUAAUAGUGAUUAAUGUUGUUAAUAAUGUUAUAUUGUUAAUGUUAUUGAUAUGUUGUAAUAUUACUAAUAUUAAUAAUCAAUAAUAACUGAUAUUAUUAAUAAUAUUAAUUAGUAUUCUAUUAAUCUAAGAAAGUUUCACAACAGCUUUUUUCUUGAGAACUCAGAAAUAGGAGAAAGACCAUUAUUAUAAUCAACAGUUGUCAUUAGUCCGAUCUGUCAGAAAUUGUUGCGAUACUUAUCUUAUCGACAAAAAUGUGAUAUAUUAUUACGGUCAAAGAUGAAUGGUCAAUGGUGUGAAAAUUAACCCUUUGCACUGUACAAAUUUUCUUGCUAUAAACAUGCAUCACUUUCUAAUGAAAUAUCGAGGACGUUUCCCAAAGCUAAUAUAAAGAAAAUCAUAUAUGUUAAUGAACAUAAUUAUUCUAUUUCAAUGUUAAGUAUCUAAUUUUAUAAUAUUGCUUUAUUUCGAUAAUGAAAUGACGACUGAGAUUCGCUUCUCGAGUGCAGAGGGUUAAAUCUUGUCCAAUGAAGACGGUAAUUCUUACACUGCCUACUGUACAUUCUUUAAUUUGUCAGAAACAAGUAAUAGCAUUGGUUGGAUGUAUCGCAGAAAAAUUGUAAGUCGAGUGCCCCCGAAGGUUCAUUCGAUGCUUCCCAAGCGAAUCAGCGAAUUCUCCUGAAAUUUUGAUAAGACUCCUGGGAAGGAAGUCGGAAUCUUAGAGUGGAGAAAGCCAUGAGAUGGUUUCUCGUUUACAACGCUUCUACGAAGUAACUUUAUUGAUUGAUUAUCGAGAUAAUUCGAGUUAUACGUCACUUAAGGUCGUUUUCUACGCAACAAGGUGAAAGCUUCGAUAGUGUUUAAAACUGUUAAAAUUAAUCUUAUCGUUUCAUUACUGUGAGAUUGUAUUACUUUAUCUACUAUCGUUAUCGAUUCAAUUAAUAUAUUUAACCCUUUGCACUCGAUAAAUUUUUCACUACGUAUGUUCAUAAUUUUCUAAGGAAACGUUGAUUAUAUUUUGGACUGUAUUUGAUUGAAAUAAUACGCCAAUGAAGGGAUAGAACUACUCAAUUUCAAUAUUUCAUGUCUAAUUAUAUUGUAUUAAAUUUGAUAUUGAAUAUCAAAUUUUAUCAUUUUCAACAUAUGAAAUUUGUGUUUUUAAUUUUAUGUGACUAGAAUGUUAAGAAAGUACAGAAAUAUCUAAUUUUGUUAUUAAAUUUAGUUAAUUGCAAUUUUGUGGUAAUAAAAAAUUGAAAAGUCAUAGUUGAAGAAAAUGUUUUAACUUUAAUUAUAAUAAAAAAUUGAAAAGUCCUAACUGAAGAAAAUGUUUUAACUUUAAUUAUAAUG